UGGGGAAUUUUGGACAAUGGGCGAAAGCCUGAUCCAGCAAUGCCGCGUGUGUGAAGAAGGCCUUCGGGUUGUAAAGCACUUUUGUCCGGAAAGAAAUCCUUGGCUCUAAUACAGUCGGGGGAUGACGGUACCGGAAGAAUAAGCACCGGCUAACUACGUGCCAGCAGCCGCGGUAUNACGUAGGGUGCAAGCGUUAACUGACGAUUACUGGGCGUAAAGCGUGCGCAGGCGGUUUGCUAAGACCGAUGUGAAAUCCCGGGCUCAACCUGGGAACUGCAUUGGUGACUGGCAGGCUAGAGUAUGGCAGAGGGGGGUAGAAUUCCACGUGUAGCAGUGAAAUGCGUAGAGAUGUGGAGGAAUACCGAUGGCGAAGGCAGCCCCCUGGCCAAUACUGACGCUC
rnacentral:rRNA from 1 species